UACGGGGGGAGCAAGCGUUGUUCGGAUUUAUUGGGCGUAAAGGGCGCGUAGGCGGCCAGCACAAGUCAGUUGUGAAAUCUCCGAGCUUAACUCGGAAAGGUCAACUGAUACUGUGCGGCUAGAGUGCGGAAGGGGCAACUGGAAUUCUUGGUGUAGCGGUGAAAUGCGUAGAUAUCAAGAGGAACACCUGCGGCGAAGGCGGGUUGCUGGGCCGACACUGACGCUGAUGCGCGAAAGCCAGGGGAGCGAACGGG
rnacentral:rRNA from 1 species